rnacentral:rRNA from 1 species
UAAUACGUAGGGUCCGAGCGUUGUCCGGAGUUACUGGGCGUAAAGCGCGCGCAGGCGGCGGUGCUGGCCCGGCGUGAAAGCCCCCGGCUCAACCGGGGAGGGUCGUCGGGGACCGCACCGCUUGAGGGCGGUAGGGGCUGGUGGAAUGCCUGGUGUAGUGGUGAAAUGCGUAGAGAUCAGGCGGAACACCCGUGGCGAAGGCGGCCAGCUGGGCCGUCCCUGACGCUGAGGCGCGAAGGCGUGGGGAGCGAACGGGAUUAGAUACCCCGGUAGUCCUGGCCCUAAACGAUGAAUGCUUGGUGUGGCGGGUAUCGAUCCCUGCCGUGCCGAAGCUAACGCAUUAAGCAUUCCGCCUGGGGAGUACGGUCGCAAGGCUG